rnacentral:lncRNA from 1 species
GAACAUCAUUCUCCUUCUCUUCCUCUCUUCCAUUUCCCGGCAGCGCAAACAAAACAAGGUUUUAUCUUUUGCAAACUCUUGGCCUCUAUUUUGAGGGUCGAUGCAUGGGUAUAGGUUUCUUGUUAGAUUGAGAGUGAUUAUUGUGGCUUUUGUUGUAUAUUGUAUGUUCUCUUGAGUCUUGAGUAAGAUCUGUAGUUAGGCCAGUAAUUUUUGAAGGUUGGGUGCUUUUGGUUGAUGUUCUUUUAAUCGUGUACUUUGAACUUUGGAUAUAUGGCAGAACAAUUGAUAUGGCACGGAACUCCAACAAAUACGUAGGUCUGUUAUGACUGAACUUUGGUAAAUCUUGCAUUUUUUGUUGGUUCUUCUUGAAUCUUGUGGUUUAACAAUUGGUGAGACUAUUUAAUGAGCCAAAUCCUCCAUGCCAAUUAUUAAAGAAAACAAAUGACAUCCAAUGCACUGGUGGAGCCAAUGGCAAGAUGGGACAGUUAUCCCCCCAUCCCACCCCACCCCACCCACUGAGAUUUUCAAUUUUCUGAGCACUUCAUCAAUAUGCGUUUCUGAGAAAAUUGACUAAAUAUUGCUUCAUUUAUGGGUACUUCAUGUAUGCAGUUCUGCCUGGUAUAUCCUUUUUUCCUCCCCUUUCACAACUCACGUCUGUUAUCUUUUUUAUUCCCUUCCUCUGUUUGCUCUUUUUUGUCCUUAUUUUUUCACAUGCCGCCUUCCUUCUUUCACCUUCCAUUUCCAGAAGCUGAUUUUUUUUUCCUUUUAAUGCAUAGCACGCACCUUCUUUAUUUCCUUUCCUUCUCUUAUUUCCUUUUUGUGUUUUAAUUUAUAUUGAUUUUUUAUUAAGCUCUCACUAAAUAAAAUUCUUGACUCCACACUAGAUCCGAUGUGGACUAAUUUCAUGUGGAGCACGUUUAAUUAAAUAUAAAAGUUCACUUAAUAACUUAUAAAUACAUAUGUAAGUAAAAGAAAUACUUUUCUUUUUGAUAAAAGCAUAAAAAUAUGCAUAUUACUAAUUUCGUUUUGAAAGUUCGGUGAGAGUAACUUUCAAAAUAAGUAACUUCAUAAGCUUAAAAGCAAGAGUAAGGGGCAUGUUUGGUGAAGCUUAAAAACACGUUUUCUGAUAGCAUCAUCUCACAUAUGCUAAAAAGAUCCUUUUAAGCACCCAUUUAAGCUUAGCCAAACAUGAUGUAGGUUGUCAUCAAAACUUGUUUGGAACAAAGUAACUUUUACCAAUAUUACCAAAAAUGGGAAGGACCAGUUGGUUUGAGAACUAGGAAUCGGUCUGGUUAGCCUUUAAAAACUGUACGAUAGAAUACCGAUUGCGAACCACUGAGCUAGCUUGGUUGAACAGGGACCCAUUGGUUUUCUCGGUUUCGCAAGGUCAAUUUUAAAAAAACCGUACGCAUUUUAUUUCUGCUCAAGUCAUCUCAUCACUUAGGGUGUAUAACUUCAUCUGAGCCACCUCACGAAUUUUCUCUUCCCUUUCCAAAUCAUUUUCUUGCCUUUUCUUCUUCAUUUCUAGUUUGAUUCUUUCGAAGCUCAACUUCUUCGAUGCUCGGAAAUCAUCACGUCUUCAGUUCUUUAAGUUUAUGUUGCUUCUUUCAUUUUCUCAUUUUCUUAUACAAAACUCACAAGCAUGGAAAGUUAUUGGGUGGGGGGCUUGGAAAAAUCUACUCGAGAGUUGUAUUGGAAUGGAAAGAAUUAAUUUCUCCCUAAUUGAGCAUUUUUAAUAUGAGCAGAAAUUAAAUGGAAUAAUUUGAUGAACAUGGUUCCAACAGAAUGGAUUACCUUUUCUGGUAUAAUAUGGUUUGAAGCUAACUAUAAUAAUUUAAUUUAAAGCAUAUUGUGAUUAUCUCAUUUUUUGCUAUGUUUAGUUUUCAUUUUUCUGUUCUGCUUAGUUAUCGUUAUUUUGUCCUGCUCAGUAUUAAAGUUACUUGCAUUUUGUAAUUGAAUUGAAUGGCAAAAUUUGUAUUACUUAUUUUAUUUGACUAUUUUGUGCUAAUUGUAUGCUUUGAGUUGUUGAUGCAGUUAUUUUUCAACAAUCAAUCUCGCAAGUAAUUCAAACUAAUGUUAUGAAAAUCAAUUAUAGCAUAUUUAUUUAAAUUUUUCUGGCAUGGUCUCUUUUGCAUGAGGUCUUUAGAAAUCCAUUUACUACCUGUUAAUAUUUGGUUUCUCUAUCCUUUUUCAACGCUUGACUUUCCUAAGCUCUUUGUCAAUGCACGACUAGUAUGCACCAUUUACUACAAUUGACGUGUCUUUUAUAUAUUAUAGCUCAUCUUAUCUUAAAGACUACAAAAUGCAGUUCUUAGGACUUAUUUAGCUUAAAAUAUUCAAUGAAAACAUGUAUAAGUUAGAAGCUUUUUUUAUCAUGUCAUUAAGAUCUAUCUCAUAUAAUAUACGUUUACAAGGCGUCGUAGCCAUAUCUUUCCAUGGUUUCUUAGCUUGAGUGAGACCGAUCAUUGUCAAGGAUAGCUUCUCUUUCAAGCAAACUCAAUGCACUUUAAAUACUCCAAACUAGUUUUGUUAUCAAAAUCUACUUGAAUCUUCGUAAAUAAUUUCACUAGAAUAACAUCUUAAUAUUGGAACCACACUACUAUCAUAUUUGGUUAAGCUUAAAAAAGGGGGAAAAAUAAUUUUAAAAAUCAGCCAAGGUAUCAACAAGGAAAAGAGAAACGACCAAGGUGUCAACCAGUAACGUUUUUUGCUUUUAGAUUACUAGUUUAGCCUAUUGACCAUUUUUUAUUUCCCUGGCUGAAGCUUUACCAUUUAUUAAAACAUUAUUAUUAUUAUUAUUAUUAUUAUUAUUAUUAUUAUUAUUAUUAUUAUUAUUUUUUUUUUACUAUUUCUUUGCUUGACCAAACAUUCUAGUAAUGCCCUUGCACUUUAGAUUGAUAUUAUAGUGAAAUAAUUUAUAGAAGUUCAAGUAGAUUUUGAUGACUAAAUUGGCUAGGAAUAUCUUUUCAAAGUUUAUUGGGUUUGCUUGAAAGAGAAAUUAUCGUUGAUAGUGAGUGAGCUCAAUCAAGUUAAGAAACUAUGGAUAGAUAUGACUAUAAUGACUCGUAAACGAUGAUUAAAUAAUGUAGAUUUUAAUGAGAUGGUAAAAAUGUUUCUAAAUCAUCCAUAUUUUUUGAAAAUUAUGAGCUGAAUAAGUCCCAAUAACUGUAUGGUUUAGUUAACAAGGAUUUUAAGCAUUGACAAAGACAUAAAGAUAAGUAAUAACAAAUAUAAAAAUGAGAUGGACCAUACAUAAUAGGCGAGUGGAUCAUUGACAAAGGUACACUGACCAGUCAAUGCAUUGAUAGAGGCUAAAAAAGCCAAGUGUUGAAAAAUGCUGGACACACCAGGCAGUGAAUGAGCACCUUGUGCAAGAGAUCAUCUUAGAAAAAUUUGGAUGAAUAUGUUGCAAUUGAUUUUCAUAAUGUUACCUCUAUUUUUUGUGACGUAAUUUGAUGGAGACCCUUAUCAAAGCUAAAGAGGAGUUCCAUGAUCUGGUUCUUGGCUCAUUUGUGUGGAUCAGAAGGAAGAUUUUGUAGGCUUGUCCAAGUUGUAGAUACGUACGUGCACAACUUUAUUAAAAGCAUCUUUAUCUUGUUAAUUCUUUCUUUUCUUUUUUAAUGAAUCUUAAAACAAAUUGUGCUAGUCAAACAUUUACUGAGUUAAUUCAAUUUUAAUAUCAGAUAAGGUGGCUGAGCCACAUGGAAUUGAUUGCAAGUCAGCAGAUAUCAUGCUUGAAGUUCCAAAGUUAAAAGAGUAGAAAGAGGCUCUAUCAAUUUAUGCUAGUACAGAUUAAGAAUUCUCCGAGGUGAUUGGAAUACAGAUUGAUCAACUUUUCUCUGAAUGUUGAAUUUAUUAUGUUUCUUGGAGUUCCUUAACGUUUUUCACAUGCAUUGAAUGUAUAGGAGAAAUUCAGCUUCUGAAGUUCGAAAACCAGCUGAGAAUUUGUGGAGUUCCAGAAUCCCAUGAUCAAAAUACAAACCCAAAUUAUGAAUCAGAAGAAGACACCAAACUUGGGAAUAACAGUAAGCAAGGUAAGACUACAUUUUUGGGUGGUUAUUUUGUCAGAUUUGUUCUUUAUUAAUUAGACAUUUGUUCUAUGCUUGUACUAAGGUAAAGAAGAGGGCUGAUCCACUCACAAAAUAAAAUUUGAUGAAAAAAUAGAAGCGAGUGGAUCACAUGGUUGGGAGAAUUAUGCAAAUCAAGAAAAUACUUGUAGCUCGGCAACUGGAGGGAUCCACCUCGUACGCUCGAGACAAGAAUCAAGGAUGCUACUCAUGCCAUAUGUAACUUUAACUUUUGUGCAAAGUCAGUUUAGUUCUAUAAGUCGAUUCAAAAGUUUAUGCAGUUCUCUCUGAAAAUGCAGUUUUAGUUCGAUGCUGCAGCAUUAUGUCGGAACUAACUUCGUGUACUAGUACAUUAGAACUGAAUUGUGAACGUGUACGAAUUAAUUUUUAGAAUUAUAGAAUACAUGAAAUUGUGUCUAACAGAGUAACUAAAUAUCAUACACACGAUAUAA